rnacentral:rRNA from 1 species
UACGUAGGGGCAAGCGUUGUCCGGAUUUAUUGGGCGUAAAGCGCACGCAGGCGGUCUUUUAAGUUUUGAGUGACAGGCGAGGGCUUAACCCUGGCAGGCCUUGGAAAACUGGAAGACUUGAGGGCGAGAGAGGGAUGGCGGAAUUCCAGGUGGAGCGGUGAAAUGCGUAGAGAUCUGGAAGAACACCGAAGGCGAAGGCAGCAUCCUGGAGCGUUACUGACGCUGAUGUGCGAAAGCUAGGGGAGCGA